UUCGUACAAACAGACGUUCGUACAAACAGACGUUCGUCUUACAUCUGCGUCCGCCGUCCGCUUCCGUCGUCUGCGUCCGCCGUCCGCGUCCGUCGUCCGCGCCUGCUUUUUAUCUACACCCGUCGUCGUUGUAAUAUCGAGAUAAUGACAAGAGAGUUGCCAAUGAUGCCAAAUAUAGCAACUGGAAAAAAGCGUCACACGAAGUUGAAAAUGCAAACUUAAGCAGAUGAGAAAGCAGGUGUUUGUUCAAGUCGUGAUAAAAAUGGGGAAUCUUUUCAAAUGGCAUGUACAUGCAAUUAUUUAAAUACGAUUUACAAAGAAUUGCAAACGCAUAAAUGAAAAUAACUUAAUGCAACAGAACAUACUCCAAAUAAAAUGUCCAUCUUUAACUCGAUAUUUGAAGUAAGAGAUGGGACACGCAAUAAUUAUGUUUAAAAUUAUUACAAAUGGAACAUUAGACUAAAUUGACAAACUAAAACUUGCUUUAUAACUGCUGAGAUGUGUUAUUACACAUGAUGCUACAAACAUAUUUACGACUGUUGUGAAUCACUAUGUUAUUAUUUUAAAAGAGGUGUGAGAUUCAUUAAAAUGAUUAAUUGUUUAAA